rnacentral:lncRNA from 1 species
UCUUAAGUUGUAUAUAUGUGCAGAGCGCGGCGCGGGUGGUCACCUCCGCUGCUGCCGCCACCCGCCCGGCCUGCCUUUGACCCUAUGGGUCACAGACAAGGCAGGGUGAUCGCGGCAAGACCCUGAGUGAGACUAGAUGCGUUACCCAGAGGGUGCGAGGUCGAGUACCUUCCCUGUCCCAUCGCAAACCCAAAGAUCCCCGUUCCUGGAGAUUCUGAUUGAGCUGCGGCUUUAGGAAGGAAUCUGCGUUUAUGAAGGGGAUGGCACCGCAGAAUCAUUCCCCCGUGGGUGGCAUCGAUUUCGAGGGCCGCCUCAUCCUGGGGGCCAAGCCUCCACUCUUCAAGGUGCCAAGUCAACCUGAAACCCUGGGAGAGACUUGGGUCAUAGCCAAGAUGGCAGGUACCUACGGAGGGUCCCGAAAUACACUUCCCAGAAGUCCAGGCGGCAACUUCCGCUCCAGGGUGCCAAGGUAGGUCCAGACGACGCCUAGGCAACCGGGGGCGGGGCUCCCAAAGCCUGUCGUCGUGGCAACGAGUAGUGAUUGACAAGCCUCUCGCUCUAGCCCUGGGCGCUCCCGCAAGGACUGCCCGGAUUCGUUCCCCGCGCUUCCGGUCUCACUGGGGAGCCGGAAUCCCCGAGUCUGCAGCCACCGCCCCCGUCCACACGAUAGCCCUCCCGGUUAAGAGGACCCCGCCCUCACCUCUGCGCUCAGCGGGCCGCUCCGCGCUCCUGAGCACGCGCAGUCUUCGACUUCCCCCUCCCGCUGGACUACGUCUCCCAGGAUGCUCCGCGCACCAGCUCGAGCGCCUCCUUGCCCUUCCCCCACCCUCGUCCCCGUUUCUACACCCUCUCCUCCCUUCCCCUAGCGGUGGUCGCAAUGAUCAGGUCAUACUCCUGGCCGCUUCUUCCCAUGCUCCCCGCCUCGAAUCCGUGCGUCGGCAUGCGCAAGCCUCUCAGGUACAACAGACGGCAGCACCGCCUACCAGAUCGCGCAUGCCCCCCACCACGUUUUCCUCACUUCUCUACGGGCCUUCCUGAGAUUAGCAGGAUCCUGCACCAAUCACGGCCGUCAUUAGAACUCCGUCGGUGCCCCACCGCGUCUCCAUGGCAACUCCCUACAGGAAGGGGCCUCUGCUACUUCCUAGACCGCAAAAUGGAGAAAGGCUUGGCCCGAUGCUUUCCGGCAGAUGUAGUCAGCAGGCCCUUCGUGUGUACGUGCGCGCGCGGCGCGAUGACGUUCCUCUGUGAUCAUGGGCGAGGGGCGGGCCCUGAACGUCUCCAUGGUAACCUGGGGACACGACUCGACAUCGCCUGGGUAACCCGGAGACGCGGCGGGCGUUGAAAAUGCAAUGGGGCAUGUGGGAUGAAGAGGUGGGGAAGGGUACUGGGGCAGAGAGAUGCCGAUCGAUAGAAACAGCGAGGAGAGACGGAGAGAGACCAGAGACUCAAGGGCAAAGAGAGACGAAGGACCGGCGGGAGGAAGAGAGAGAGAGACAGAGAGACAGACUCACAGACUGGGAGGACCGGAGACUCGACGCGAGGAGAGACAGUGAAAAUAAGUGAACAAACAUAGAGACACGGGUCCAAGUUAUAAGAGGGCUGAGUGGAUCAGAGGGUCAGGGCCGGGCAAACAGGUGUCAGAACAGUUAGCAAGAGAGAGGCAGAUCAGAAAGGGAUGCAGAUGAAAGAGACACAAAGAAGGAAACGCAGAAUGGGUUCACAGAGACAAGAAAUGCAGAUAUCCAGACUCAAGAGGUAGACAAGAAGGGAGAGGGACAGAAACAAGAAGGGAGAAAAGGGACAGAAAUUAGAGAUACAGUAAGAUGGAUUGACAGUUUUCGAAGACCUAGAGAAAGAUGACAGCACGAAGAGAGACAGGGAGAAUCCGAGGUAAAACUGUUAGGAAAACUUAGGAGUCCAGAUGCUGUCCAGUUAUAUGCUACCCUGUACAGGUUGAUAGGUUGCAAAUGCUUUCUGUCCAGUGUAUCGCUUUGUAGCUCACUAAGCAGUUUUGUAUCCAACUUUGUGCUUUUAUUUCAGUGUUUUUCUUUUUCUUUCUUUCUUUUUUUUUUUUUUUUUUUUGACGGAGUCUCGCUGUUGCCAGACUGGAGUGCAGUGGCACGAUCUCGGCUCACUGCAACCUCCGUCUCCCAGGUUCAAGCGAUUCUCCUGCCUCAGCCUCCCGAGUAGCUGGGACUGCAGGCUGCUCCACCACACCCGGCUGAUUUUUGUAUUUUUAGUAGAGAUGGGGUUUUACCAUGUUGGCCAGACUGGUCUUGACCUCCAGACCUCUGGUGAUCCGCCCACCUCGGCCUCCCAAAUUGCUGGAAUUACAGGUGUGAGCCACCGCGGCCGGCCAGUGUUUAUUCUUCCUUUCCUGUCUUCCUAGAAUCAUCUUGCUGCUUCCCUCAGUACGGUAAAUAAAUCUUUUGACACAUGCUC